rnacentral:rRNA from 1 species
UAUGGGUUAGUGGCGGACGGGUGAGUAACGCGUGGGUAACCUGCCUUACACAGGGGGAUAACACUUAGAAAUAGGUGCUAAUACCGCAUAACACUGUGAGAGGCAUCUCUUGUGGUUGAAAGUUUCGGCGGUUACAGAUGGGCAUGCGUUGUAUUAGCUGGUUGGUAAGGUAACGGCUUACCAAGGCGACGAUACAUAGGGGGACUGAGAGGUUAACCCCCCACAUUGGUACUGAGACACGGACCAAACUCCUACGGAAGGCAGCA